UACCCCUCUCCUUCCCUCUUCCUCCUCUCACUCCUUCCAUUUCUCUCUUUCUUUUUCUCCCCUCGCCCCCUUCCAUGUCAUAUGUCCUGAGGAAAGGCCAAGUGAGGAUAUAGCAAGAAGGCAUCCAUCUAUAAGCCAGGAAGAGUCUCUCCAGAAACCAAAUCACUUAGCACCUUGCACAUGGACUUCUAGCCUCCAGAAUUAUGUACAUAUGACACUAUUUGAGUCUGCAUGGCUGGGGGUGAAAGUGAGAAUGAUGGCCAACGUCUUCAGAGAGAAGAUGAGAGUCUGUGUCUUGAAGAAUGAAUAGUAGUUUUCUAGAGAAUAAGUCCAUUGGAGAGGGACUGUUCUCACUUCUACGUGUCACACGGAUUCCUCAAGAAAACAGUGAUGGCUGGUUAUCAUGACACACAGAUGCUUUUCUUCCUGGGCACUUAUUACCAAGCUGGGAAUCUCGUCACCCCGGUCACCCUCGAAUGCAUUCGAGUCACCUUAUGACUGCAUUCGUACUGGCUGUAAGUAACUCUUUGACUCAACAGGGAACCAGGGCCAGAUGGCCUGCAGACAUGUGCUUGAGACGGUGGGAGCCUCAUUUGUUCUGUUUCUUGUUACUUACUAUCACUCCUUAGCUAACUACACAGGAGGUAUCCACCCUGUGGGCUGCUUUUUGCCAUUCAUAUCAAGAUAUAAUGACAGUAAUAGACUUUUUAUUAAC